rnacentral:rRNA from 1 species
GGAUCAACGCUAGCUACAGGCUUAACACAUGCAAGUCGCGGGGCAGCCUGGGGGUUGCUUGCAAUCCCCGAUGGCGACCGGCGCACGGGUGAGUAACGCGUAUCCAACCUGCCCUUCACCACGGGAUAACCCGGCGAAAGUCGGACUAAUACCGUAUGUUGUCCAUUGACGGCAUCCGAUUUGGACGAAAGGCUUGGCGGUGAGGGAUGGGGAUGCGUCCGAUUAGCCAGACGGCGGGGUAACGGCCCACCGUGGCUACGAUCGGUAGGGGUUCUGAGAGGAAGGUCCCCCACACUGGAACUGAGACACGGUCCAGACUCCUACGGGAGGCAGCAGUGAGGAAUAUUGGUCAAUGGGCGUAAGCCUGAACCAGCCAAGUAGCGUGCAGGAUGACGGCCCUAUGGGUUGUAAACUGCUUUUAUGCGGGGAUAAAGUGGCCCACGUGUGGGCUUUUGCAGGUACCGCAUGAAUAAGGACCGGCUAAUUCCGU